rnacentral:tRNA from 1 species
AUCUAAAUAGUUUAAAUAAAAAUUUUGAUUUGUGGUAUCAAAGAUAUAAUAUUUAUUUUAGAUU